UUUAGUAAAAUAGAACAAAAUGUAUUGACUCCAAACAAGUAUGAGUCAGUACAUAAGCUAAAAGUCGAUACAAUUAAGGCAGAACCAACGACUUGCCAAAACCUUCAGUUGGAGUCAACUCCAAACAUGAAUGAGUCGACUCUUCAUAUUGUGUAUCGACCCCCACACUCCUAUGUUAAUUACAUUUAAGGCAAAAUCUUUUUUUAUAUCCCAUUCACUAUGUAUCAAUCCAUAUGUUAGAUGUAUCGAUCCAUAAACUUGUUUUUC
rnacentral:lncRNA from 1 species